CUAGGCUUCUGACACACAAUAAAUGUGGUGAUAGAUCUUAAAACUUUUAAAUGGGUUUAAUAUUUGUAUUGCUAUUGAGCAAUUUUAAGCAAUUGGAAGAUUUCUUGUUAUUGCCCAAUACUUCAUAUGAUAACUAACACAUCCUGUUUGUUGUGUUUCUCCAAUCAGUACUUUUUGCUUUUAUAUAUACAAUUGAAAAAUGGAAAAUUUUAAGAAAA
rnacentral:lncRNA from 1 species